rnacentral:rRNA from 1 species
UGGGGAAUAUUGGACAAUGGGGGCAACCCUGAUCCAGCAAUGCCGCGUGUGUGAAGAAGGUCUUCGGAUUGUAAAGCACUUUCGACGGGGACGAUGAUGACGGUACCCGUAGAAGAAGCCCCGGCUAACUUCGUGCCAGCAGCCGCGGUAAUACGAAGGGGGCUAGCGUUGCUCGGAAUGACUGGGCGUAAAGGGCGUGCAGGCGGUUUACACAGUCAGAUGUGAAAUCCCCGGGCUUAACCUGGGAGCUGCAUUUGAUACGUGUAGACUAGAGUGUGAGAGAGGGUUUGUGGAAUUCCCAGUGUAGAGGUGAAAUUCGUAGAUAU